rnacentral:miRNA from 1 species
UGGCAGCAGAUCUCUCUCUCUCUCUCUCUCUCUCUCUCUCUGUAUAUAUAUAUAUAUAUUCACAAGUUCAAGUAAAGAGAAAAAGAAAAGGCACCUUUUGUACUAGAUUGAUAUUCAAAACAUGAAAUAUGUAACCACUGGAUCGAUCAUAUUUAUUUAUCCACAGAGGGAGAGAGAGAGAGAGAGAGAGAGAGAGAGAGAGAGAGAGAAAUG